GACGGAGGAGGCAAGCGUUAUCCGGAAUUAUUGGGCGUAAAGGGUACGUAGGCGGCUGGUCAAGUCUGGGGUCAAAGGCCACAGCUCAACUGUGGGAAGGCCCUGGAAACUGACCGGCUAGAGUGAGGUAGGGGUUGCGGGAAUUCCCGGUGUAGCGGUGAUAUGCGUAGAGAUCGGGAAGAACACCUGAGGCGGAAGCGCGCAACUGGGCCUCAACUGACGCUGAGGUACGAAAGCGUGGGGAGCAAACAGG
rnacentral:rRNA from 1 species